GUGGCCCUGGCCUACAGUGAACAUCCUGGAGCAAUGCCUCCCAGGGUGAAUCUGCAUUAACAGGUGUGAGGAUUCUAACAGCAGUCUGAUGAUUAUGCAUGAUUCUGCAGACAGGA